CCGCGAAUGGCUCAUUAAAUCAGUUAUGGUUCCUUGGAUCGUACUUUACUACUUGGAUAACUGUGGCAAUUCUAGAGCUAAUACAUGCAGUAGAGCUCCGACCUUCGGGGACGAGCGCUUUUAUUAGACCAAAACCAAUCGGGCUUUGCCCGUGAAAGGUGGUGACUCUGUAUAACUUUGGGCUGAUCGCACGGGCUUGUCCCGGCGACGUAUCUUUCAAGUGUCUGCCUUAUCAACUGUCGAUGGUAGGUUACGCGCCUACCAUGGUCGUAACGGGUAACGGGGGAUCAGGGUUCGAUUCCGGAGAGGGAGCCUGAGAAACGGCUACCACAUCCAAGGAAGGCAGCAGGCGCGCAAAUUACCCACUCCCGGCACGGGGAGGUAGUGACGAAAAAUAACAAUACGGGACUCUUUUGAGACCCCGUAAUUGGAAUGAGUACACUCUAAAUCCUUUAACGAGUAUCUAUUGGAGGG
rnacentral:rRNA from 1 species